rnacentral:rRNA from 1 species
AACGAACGCUGGCGGCAGGCUUAACACAUGCAAGUCGAGCGGAUGAAGGAAGCUUGCUUCCCGAUUCAGCGGCGGACGGGUGAGUAAUGCCUAGGAAUCUGCCUAUUAGUGGGGGAUAACUCGGGGAAACUCGGGCUAAUACCGCAUACGUCCUACGGGAGAAAGUGGGGGAUCUUCGGACCUCACGCUAAUAGAUGAGCCUAGGUCGGAUUAGCUAGUUGGUGAGGUAAUGGCUCACCAAGGCGACGAUCCGUAGCUGGUCUGAGAGGAUGAUCAGCCACACUGGAACUGAGACACGGUCCAGACUCCUACGGGAGGCAGCAGUGGGGAAUAUUGGACAAUGGGCGAAAGCCUGAUCCAGCCAUGCCGCGUGUGUGAAGAAGGUCUUCGGAUUGUAAAGCACUUUAAGUUGGGAGGAAGGUCUGUAAGCUAAUAUCUUGCAGUCUUGACGUUACCAACAGAAUAAGCACCGGCUAACUCUGUGCCAGCAGCCGCCGUAACAC